CCACCCUUCCGGUUCAGGAGAGCCCAAAAACAUUUCUUGCACCAGGACCUUUGCUACAUAAUAUCCAACACUGAGCAGGAGUGAGGCAGCUCUGUGACACAUGGAAUAGUUUUUUACCCAGAAAAACAGGAAAUUCUGUAUUUACUACUUUGACAGCAGUUAUAUCUUAAAGGGACACUAUAAUAACCAAAACCAUAGCUUAUGUAGU